UUAAUUCGAUGCAACGCGAAGAACCUUACCUACCCUUGACAUCCUGCGAAUCCCGAUGAGAGUUGGGAGUGCCGAAAGGAACGCAGAGACAGGUGCUGCAUGGCUGUCGUCAGCUCGUGUUGUGAGAUGUUGGGUUAAGUCCCGUAACGAGCGCAACCCUUGUCCUUAGUUGCCAGCAAGUAAAGUUGGGGACUCUAAGGAGACUGCCGGUGAUGAACCGGAGGAAGGCGGGGACGACGUCAAGUCAUCAUGGCCUUUAUGGGUAGGGCUACACACGUGCUACAAUGGGGCGUACAGAGGGUAGCCAACCAGCGAUGGGGAGCCAAUCUCUUAAAGCGUCUCGUAGUCCGGAUUGGAGUCUGCAACUCGACUCCAUGAAGUUGGAAUCGCUAGUAAUCGCGAAUCAGCAACGUCGCGGUGAAUACGUUCCCGGGCCUUGUACACACCGCC
rnacentral:rRNA from 1 species